GGGGGAAUAUUGCACAAUGGGCGAAAGCCUGAUGGAGCAACACCGCGUGAGUGAAGAAGGGUUUCGGCUCGUAAAGCUCUGUUGUUGGAGAAGAACGUGCGUGAGAGUAACUGUUCACGCAGUGACGGUAUCCAACCAGAAAGUCACGGCUAACUACGGUCCAGCAGCCGCGGUAAUACGUAGGUGGCAAGCGUUAUCCGGAUUUAUUGGGCGUAAAGCGAGCGCAGGCGGUUGCUUAGGUCUGAUGUGAAAGCCUUCGGCUUAACCGAAGAAGUGCAUCGGAAACCGGGCGACUUGAGCGCAGAAGAGGACAGUGGAACUCCAUGUGUAGCGGUGGAAUGCGUAGAUAUAUGGAAGAACACCAGUGGCGAAGGCGGCUGUCUGGUCUGCAACUGACGCUGAGGCUCGAAAGCAUGGGUAGCGAACAGG
rnacentral:rRNA from 1 species